GACGAACGCUGGCGGCGUGCUUAACACAUGCAAGUCGAACGGUGAAGGGACUGGUCUUUGCUGGUUCUGGAUGAGUGGCGAACGGGUGAGUAACACGUGAGUAACCUGCCCCCUUCUUCUGGAUAACCGCAUGAAAGUGUGGCUAAUACGGGAUAUUCUGCGCCUGCUGCAUGGUGGGUGUGGGAAAGAUAUUGUUUCGGUGGGGGAUGGGCUCGCGGCCUAUCAGCUUGUUGGUGGGGUGAUGGCCUACCAAGGCGGUGACGGGUAGCCGGCCUGAGAGGGUGGACGGUCACACUGGGACUGAGACACGGCCCAGACUCCUACGGGAGGCAGCAGUGGGGAAUAUUGCACAAUGGGCGCAAGCCUGAUGCAACGACGCCGCGUGAGGGAUGGAGGCCUUCGGGUUGUAAACCUCUUUCGCCAGUGAAGCAGGCCUGUCCCUUUUGUGGGUGGGUUGACGGUAGCUGGAGAAGAAGCGCCGGCUAACUACGUG
rnacentral:rRNA from 1 species